CUUUUAUUUCAUUAAGCACUGAGUUACAUCACUUCGUGGGCGGGUCCUCCCCAACCCACUCAUCAGUUAAAUUGUCUAUAUCCUCUCCCUUCGGUUCGCUCUUGCUCUCAGCCUCAACACCUGGAGCAAGCUUCUCGAGCCAGGUGAAGUCAUCCUCAGGAUAGCGCUUGAUAAGCUCGGCUAGGAGAUCGCCAUGGGCCUGUACAUAGGCGCUGG
rnacentral:misc_RNA from 1 species